CCUCUGAUAGCUCAGUUGGUAGAGCGGUGGACUGUAGAUCCAUAGGUCGCUGGUUCAAAUCCGGCCCAGAGGA
rnacentral:tRNA from 1 species